rnacentral:sRNA from 1 species
UUACUAGGCUAUUCAUUGCUACCUAUGCGGUUGGAGCCCAGGGUCAGUCCAUGUAUAGGUUUGAUUUCUUAAUAAUCACUGUAAACUAUAAGUUCUUUACUCCAACUCUUUUAUUUCACGAAUAAUCAAUGAUGCUUUCUUACAUUGUGAAGACCUUAAAGUGAGUUUGUAUUUUUGUACCUAUAGUUAAGUUUAGCAUCUUUUCCUCUGUUUACCAUCUUUUUUCCACCUGUGUUUCUCCUCUGAUCCCAAUCCCAGGACCCUAAAUUCUGCCAAUGUCUCUUCUGCCCACCUAUUGCUGUAUUUAUUUAGCAAUCUGGGAUAACGUGGGGUCCAAAGUCACAUACCAUCACCUGGGUCUCUGGGAACAACCAGUGUUUAGUAUGGGAAAAGAUCAAACCUCAAUAUGUAUGUGUGUGUGUGUGUGUGUGUGUGUGUGUGUGUGUGUGUGUGUCACACGUGCAUUUGAAUGUACUUAUAUUCAGGGUAGAAGUGCUUGAACACUUGUCUAUUAAUCUAGCAAAAAAUGGAAACUACAGAGAAAGAUCGAAACUAUAACACGAUGCUGCUCCAAAAGUAUGUCCCUGCAUUGAGCUCACCACUUGGAUAAAGGAAGUGAAUGAUUCACAACGGAUAUUGCAGAGCAGGGAGCUCCGGUCAGUUGAGAGCUUGAAGCGGGAAAGGACAAAGAUGAGCCUUUUCUGGUAGCAACCCUUGUCUGGUUACAAGGUCGCUAAAUCUCCAGUUCGUUUCACAACAACCCUUUGAGGAAUUAGCAGAUCUAUUUCAGGGCAGGAUAGUGUUACAGUGAUUAAUGUCUAGAAGGACCUCAACAGGUGGUUCUUGAAUAGAGAGCAGAGGUAACAAAGGCCUUUGCACAAAGGAAUUAAAUAGGUUCAAAGAAUUAAAUUGUCACCCCAAAAUGGCACAGGCAAGACUUGACGCCGUGUGCCAGUGGCAUGAGCAACUGUCACACAUCUGUGGCAUACCCCCAAAUGCUAACAUCUACCUAAGCUUGUCUUUAUCUCCCACUGGCUCUAAUUCUUAACAGAUUUCUAUUUUUUUUUAUCUAUCAGUAUGUUCAGGAAUAAACAAAACAAAACAGCAAUAUAAUAACUUCUUACCAAAGAUUUCUUGAUUUUUGCCUAAUUACUAACUUAAACACAGGGACAUUCUUUUCCUUCAGCCUCAAAUGUAGUGGAAACAAAAGAAAAAUAAUCACAACGCAAAAUGAUAAAUCAUAAUUAUCAUGAGUGUUUAAGAAUGCAUAACCCUAGUUCUAAGUGUGUGUGUGUGUGUGUGUGUGUGUGUGUGUAAGCCAGAGGUUGAUACCUGGCUGGUCAUCACAGCACUUAUGCUGUGCUUUGCUUUUUCAAAGAUACUGGGGGAUCGAACUCUGUUCUUUGGACUUGCAUACCAUGCAUAUUACCAACUGAUUUUUCCCCCAGACUCUGUUUAUUUUUCUUUCCUCUUUUGAUUAUUCUUUACAGGAGUCCUAGGACUUCUUUAUGAAAAAUGAAAUUCUCUUGGCGUUUUUGAAAAGUUUGUCAAACUAUAAUUCAAUCUGUCUGAAAACUGAGGUCUUCCCCCCACUCCCAUAUUUGUGAUCAUCUGGGAUUUCUGCAACCUGCUACAGCAGUCCCUCUGAAGAAAUCCCUAGGUAGUCCUGAUCCUGUCAACAUUCUUAUGUGUGUCAGAGAGAUCAAACAUGCCUUUGUAUUAAUUAAAUGAAGUUGAAUCUUCAUACAGAAACCUCUAGUGUGUUAAAGUUAGUGUUGUACCUGCUUCCUGAAUAUACUGCUAUGGUAUAACUUCAAUAAACACAAUCUCUUGAAUUUAAAUCAAAAUUCAAAAUCAAUACCCAUAUCUCAUGAUGAUAAAUAUGUGUCAGGAAGGGGAAUCAACUCACCCUAGAGAUGGAGACUUCUUUGAUCUUAUUUUUCAAACAGUACAUCCCCAGAAACAUUUGUGUGUGGUUUAUAAAUACUACUUUAAAUACACAUGUGGCAGUAUAUGCUCGUAACUGCAUCACCUAGGAAGGAGGAACUUCUUGAGAUUUGAGGACAUCUGGUCUACAUAGGAAGGUCCAAGCCAGCCUGGACUCCAAAGUGAGAGCCUGUCUAGAAACACUGUUUUCCAACCCUUUAAUUCCUCAACAAUCUGGUCCUAGUUCUGCUGUUGAGUGCAAAUUUCUUACUGUCCUUAUUCUUGUUUGCAAUGGAAAUCUACCAUGUAGAAGACAGCAAAACUCACACAUGAGGCUCCUCCUCAGAUGAGCAUUAGAAGAUAUACAAAGAAAGUAAAGUAAGGCGUUUUAAAGGUCUGGCUUAUUGAUACCACACUAACUUUGUCUCAUAAGGAAAAAGUUAAUAAGGUCUGUUAAUCUGUCUGUCUAUCUGUCUAUUUUUCUUUCUUGCCUUCCAUCUUUUUGAAUUUGGAGUUUUUCCUUUAUGAGAAAAUUCAGUGUUUAAGAAGAAGCAAUUUUUGGUGUGACUUUUCUCUCUGCUAAGAGGUUCAUAAGUAAUAUUUUAAA